rnacentral:rRNA from 1 species
GGAUAGCGGAGAAAUUCCAAUCGAACUCGGAGAUAGCUGGUUCUCCUCGAAAUAGCUUUAGGGCUAGCCUCAAGGGAAGAUACGCGGGGGUAGAGCACUGAAUGUUCUAGGGGCCUUCACCGGUUACCGAAAACUAUCAAACUCCGAAUACCGUAGUAUUAUACUUGGGAGUCAGACUACGAGAGAUAAGUUCCGUGGUCAAAAGGGAAACAGCCCAGACCUACAGCUAAGGUCCCAAAAUGUAGAUUAAGUGGAAAAGGAUGUGGAGCUGCAUAGACAACUAGGAUGUUGGCUUAGAAGCAGCCACUCAUUUAAAGAGUGCGUAAUAGCUCACUAGUCGAGUGACUCUGCGCCGAAGAUAAACGGGGCUAAAAUCUACUACCGAAGCUUAGGAAUUACUUUAAAGUAAUUGGUAGAGGAGCAUCGUAUGCGGGCAGAAGCUGUGCUGGAAGGCAUGGUGGACUGCAUAGGAGAGAGAAUGUUGGCAUGAGUAGCGUAAGGCAGGUGAGAAUCCUGUCCGCCGAAAAUCUAAGGUUUCCUGAGGAAGGUUCGUCCACUCAGGGUUAGUCGGGACCUAAGCCGAGAGCAAGGCGCUGUAGGCGAUGGACAACAGGUUGAUAUUCCUGUACCACCGAAAGUCGUUUGAGCGAAGUGGGGACACAGAAGGAUAGGUUGAGCACGCUGUUGGUAAUGCGUGUCCAAGCGUCGAGGGAGAACUGGUAGGCAAAUCCGCGAGUUCAAUUCUGAGGCGUGAUGGGGUGGCCGCAAGGCUGGAAGCAACUGAUUUCACACUGUCAAGAAAAGCCGCUAGCGAGACCGUAGGUGCCCGUACCGCAAACCGACACAGGUAGAUGAGGAGAGAAUCCUAAGGUGAGCGAGAGAACUAUUGUUAAGGAACUCGGCAAAAUAACCCCGUAACUUCGGGAGAAGGGGUGCUCCGGAAACGGAGCCGCAGUGAAAAGUCCCAGGCGACUGUUUACCAAAAACACAGGUCUCUGCGAAAGCGAAAGCUGAAGUAUAGGGGCUGACGCCUGCCCGGUGCUGGAAGGUUAAGGGGAUGUGUUAGGGCAACCGAAGCACUGAACUUAAGCCCCAGUAAACGGCGGCCGUAACUAUAACGGUCCUAAGGUAGCGAAAUUCCUUGUCGGGUAAGUUCCGACCCGCACGAAAGGCGUAACGAUCUGGGAACUGUCUCAACAAUAGACUCGGUGAAAUUGUAGUACCGGUAAAGAUGCCGGUUACCCGCAGCAGGACGGAAAGACCCCAUGGAGCUUUACUGUAGCUUGAUAUUGAGAUUCGGCGUUGCAUGUACAGGAUAGGUGGGAGACUGCGAGGUAAGUACGCCAGUAUUUACGGAGUCACCGUUGGGAUACCACCCUUGUAACGUUGAGUUUCUAACAUUGCGCCGUGAUCCGGCGCAUGGACAGUGUCAGGUGGGCAGUUUGACUGGGGCGGUCGCCUCCUAAAGAGUAACGGAGGCGCCCAAAGGUUCCCUCAGUGCGGUCGGAAAUCGCGCGAAGAGUGUAAAGGCAGAAGGGAGCUUGACUGCGAGACAGACAAGUCGAGCAGGGACGAAAGUCGGGCUUAGUGAUCCGGUGGUUCCGCGUGGAAGGGCCAUCGCUCAACGGAUAAAAGCUACCCUGGGGAUAACAGGCUGAUACCGCCCAAGAGUUCACAUCGACGGCGGUGUUUGGCACCUCGAUGUCGGCUCGUCUCAUCCUGGGGCUGAAGUAGGUCCCAAGGGUUGGGCUGUUCGCCCAUUAAAGAGGUACGCGAGCUGGGUUCAGAACGUCGUGAGACAGUUCGGUCCCUAUCCGCUGUGGGCGUUGGAGAUUUGAGUGGAGCUGUUCCUAGUACGAGAGGACCGGGAUGGACGUAGCUCUGGUGCACCAGUUGUUCUGCCAAGGGCAUCGCUGGGUAGCUACCUACGGACGGGAUAAGCGCUGAAAGCAUCUAAGUGCGAAGCCCCCCACGAGAAAAGAUCUCCUCCAAUUAUGGUAAGACCCGUGAGAGACUAUCACGUUGAUAGGUCGGAGGUGUAAGUGUGGUGACACAUUUAGCUGACCGAUACUAAUAGGUCGAAAACUUGACCAA